AUUGAACGCUGGCGGCAGGCCUAACACAUGCAAGUCGAGCGGAUGAAGGUAGCUUGCUCCUGGAUUCAGCGGCGGACGGGUGAGUAAUGCCUAGGAAUCUGCCUGGUAGUGGGGGAUAACGUCCGGAAACGGGCGCUAAUACCGCAUACGUCCUGAGGGAGAAAGUGGGGGAUCUUCGGACCUCACGCUAUCAGAUGAGCCUAGGUCGGAUUAGCUAGUUGGUGGGGUAAAGGCCUACCAAGGCGACGAUCCGUAACUGGUCUGAGAGGAUGAUCAGUCACACUGGAACUGAGACACGGUCCAGACUCCUACGGGAGGCAGCAGUGGGGAAUAUUGGACAAUGGGCGAAAGCCUGAUCCAGCCAUGCGGCGUGUGUGAAGAAGGUCUUCGGAUUGUAAAGCACUUUAAGUUGGGAGGAAGGGCAGUAAGUUAAUACCUUGCUGUUUUGACGUUACCAACAGAAUAAGCACCGGCUAACUUCGUG
rnacentral:rRNA from 1 species